CCUACGGGUGGCAGCAGUGGGGAAUAUUGCACAAUGGGGGAAACCCUGAUGCAGCGACGCCGCGUGAAGGAAGAAGUAUUUCGGUAUGUACACUUCUAUCAGCAGGGAAGAAAAUGACGGUACCUGACUAAGAAGCCCCGGCUAACUACGUGCCAGCAGCCGCGGUAAUACGUAGGGGGCCAGCGUUAUCCGGAUUUACUGGGGGUAAAGGGAGCGUAGGCGGUGAUGCAAAUCAGAAGUGAAAGCUCGGAGCGCAACUGCGGGACUGCUUUGGAAACUGUAGGACUAGAUGUCAGGAGAGGUAAGUGGAAUUCCUAGUGUAGCGGUGAAAUGCGUAGAUAUUAGGAGGAACACCAGUGGCGAAGGCGGCUUACUGGACUGUAAAUGACGCUGAGGAUCGAAAGCGUGGGGAGCAAACGGGAUUAGAUACCCGAGUAGUC
rnacentral:rRNA from 1 species